UGUAGAUGCCAUUUGCCUUAUCAGUAUUAGCCAAAAUUCUCUUCACAAAUGUAAACAUAAAUUGCACUGUAUGCGUGUACGAAUCGCAUAGGGAGUGAUAUUGAAAAUAAAAAAAUUUCAGCGAUUACAAUCGACAUGCGACGGCAAGCUGGAUGAUGUGAUUGUUGAAUGCAAACAUGUAUAAAUUGACGUGAAAUUGAAUAAACUAUAUUUUGAUUUCAAGCGACAAAUAAGAAUGUAAUGAAUAUGAACCUCAAUCGUGAUUCAUCGAUGUGAAAUGAUUACAUUGCUUCUGGCGCAUAAUGUUCGUGGGAAUGCUUCGAACGAUACCAUUGGAGUACGUGCGAUUUGGCACAGGGGUCGUGCCGUGGCACAGUGGAAAUUGGCAUCUGUGUGUCAUCCAUUACCGAGGAAUCACCCAAAGUGCUCUGAACGACCGAAUCACUCCUUCGUUAUUGUUGGUGAGGCAAUGCAGCGAUGCUGUAUGACUCGUAACGUGUGUAUGUGCAUCAAGUAUAUGUAUACAAGCCUCGGGAAUGAUUGGAAGGAGCAGCAGCUUUAGACGAACUACAUGCAGCCCAACAUAUUCGGUUCGAGUAAGUUGACAGCGGCUGGGCUGCAUACAGUGCUGAUAUGACUGUUUCCUCGUGCGACUCCAAACAGCAUGGAGAAAAGACAAAUUCGCACGAUUUUCUUGUUCCAGUUCAAGCUAGGCCGAAAAGCUGCGGAGACAGCCUGCGAUAUCAACGACGCGUUUGGUCCAGGGACACCUACUGAACGUCCGUCACAAUGGUGGUUCAAGAAAUUCCGCAGCGAUGAGGAGAGCUUUGAAGAUGACGAGCGUAAUGGUCGGCCAUCCGAUGUUGACAACGAUCGACUGACAGCUUUUUUUUUAACACUUUCGACGCCCCGUCACCCAGAUAUGGCUGACACUUUCCUCGCUCGAAUUGAGUAGGAUUUUUAGAAGGAAUUUGAUAGAAUAGGCACCUAAAUGUAACUAUAGGAUAUGAAGAAAAAUAAUGAAAUCAUAACCAUAAUAUUAUACUGUUUAUACUAUACUUUAUUAAUUUAUAGUACGGAUGGUUUGUACUGCAGUUUUUUGCAAAACCCCUAUAAUAUGACUUUGGCAUGUGUUGUUGUCAUCAAUUCGUCUUCAAUUGGAAAUAAACAUUGCUAGAUCAUGUAAAAGUUAUCUACAAACUAAGUUUGAUCUUCAUUUAAUAAUUUAAUCGCAAGUUGGGGUCUGCAAGAAACUCAAAAACGUCGCGUUGGGGACGAAGGGGACGAAUUACUCGCAAGGGAAGGUAUAAGGGGGUAUAAGGAUAUAAGGGCAAUUACACACGAAGAUCGAUAGCUUUAAGGAAAACAUAUAUAUGGGACAUGUAAUCAAGGUCUAACCUAGCCAAUACAUCUCUCACCGGCCCGAAGGGAGUUUUCUAAAUUCGAUCUGGCGACCAGAUGAACCUCGCACGACCAAACAACAUGCUCGAUGUCGUGAUAACCCUGACCACAAACGCAGAGAUUGUUGCUGGCAAGAUUGAAACCAAGGAAUACCACAUCUAAUGAACAGUGAUUGGACAUGAGUCGGGAGAAGGUGCGAAUAAAGUCCCGACUGAAGUCCAGACUUUUGAAUCACGGCUUAAGGCUAACCUUGGGGAUAAUCGAGUGAAACCACCGGCCCAAUUUAUCUUCGUUCCACUUGCGUUGCCAGUUAGCGAUGAUAUUUUUACGGACUAAGGAAUAAAAUUCGUUGGAGGCGAUUUGACGCUGAUAAAUAUUGCCCUCAAUCUCACCUACCUUUGCUAAUGAGUCAGCCUUCUCAUUACCUGGAAUUGAGCAAUGUGAAGGGACCCAGACAAAGGUAAUGACAUAACAGCGUCUGGAUAAAGCACUCAAAAUUUCUCGUAUUCUCUCAAGGAAGUACGGCGAGUGCUUUUCCGGCCUCACUGAACGGAUAGCUUCGACAUAGCUAAGACUAUCCGUUACAAUGUAAAAGUGUUCAACAGGUCGUGAGGUGACGCUGUCCUGCGCCCAGUGAAUUGCGGCCAAUUCAGCAAUAUACACUGAGCAAGUAUACUGAAGACUUCAUUAGACCGAUCAAAAUGCACAGAGAUGUAGUCAGGAAAACAAACACGGUUGGGAAUAUACGAAGAAGGAGUAACCUGCAUAGAGAUGAAUUCAUGAUAUGAGCUCAUGAAGCCGGAAUGAAAAUAUAGCUCGAUCAAUUGCUCAAAAUUUCCGAUCACCAAUGGAUUCAUAACCUUACACCGGAUGUGGAACCGAAGAGAUAGUAAAUUGAAGCGAUCUUAUAGUGGGAGUACGCCUGCCAAAACCUCGAGACUCAUGGUGUGCGUUGAGGGCAUAUAUCCCAACGCAAUACGGAGACAAAGAUACUGAAUUCGCUCGAGUUUAAUGAGGUGUGUUUUGACAGGUGAUUGAAAACAGAAACUGCCAUACUCCAUCACUGUGAGAAUAGUUGUUCGAUACAACAUUGUAAGAUCUUAUGGUUGGGCUCCCCACCAGGUGCCGGUAGUUGUACGGAGAAAGUUCAUUCUUUGUUAGCAUUUUUUACUACUUUAUAUUUGGAGUCGAACCAGACGCCAAGAUACUUGAAUGACAUAGCAUGAGUGAUCGGUUUACUUAGAAGUUGAAGAUUUGGUUUUGCUGGUUUAUGCUUCCUAGAAAAAACCACCAUCUAUGUUUUCUCCGUGGAGAAUUCGCUCCCUAGCUCAAUGACCCAGGUUAAUAAAUUGUUCAAAGUAUCUUGGAAGGGUUCUUGCAGUUCGGAUUCGUUUGAUCCUACGACAGACACCACUCCAUCAUCUGCAAGUUGUCUUUGGCUGCACUUUUGUGUAAGGUAAUUGUGAAUGUCGCUUACAUAGAAUUUGUUCAAAAGGGGGCUUAAACAUGAGCCCUGGGGAGUCCCAUGUAGGAGACCUGGCUUACUGCCGAAUCUCCGUGAGAAAAAUUCAAAUGUUUCUCACAAAGCAUAUAUAACUUACAUGUUAUUCAAUAGAGGUGGUAGACCCCGAGAGUGUAAUUUGUCUGACAAAACCUCUAUCGAAACAGAAUCAAAGGCCUCAUUUAUGUACAAGAAUACUGAAGCCAUUUGUUUUUUUUCGGCGUAAGUCGUUUGAAUUUCUGAAGAAAGCAACGCAAAACAAUCAUUCGCCCUCUUGCCCCUGCGGAACCCAUAUUGUGUAUCUGAGAGUAGGCCAUUCGUUUCAAUCCAUCGAUCAAGGCGUAACAAGAUCAUUUUCUCCAACAAUUUCCGUAUACAAGACAGCAUUGCUAUUGGGCGGUACGAAUUGAAGUCGGACGCUGGCUUUCCGGGUUUUUGAAUAGCUAUAGCACGUACUCACUUGUCUCCAAUCAUCUGGAACAACAUUAUGCUCCAUAAACCGAUUGAAUAAAUUCAACAAGCGAUGUUUCGCCACAUCGAGGAGCUUUUUCAGCAAAGUUGAACUUAAUUCUAUCCGAUCCCGGAGCAGAAUUGUUACAUGAGAGAAUUCCACCAUCAAAAACUCGGAAUCAAGAUCGCACCUAUCUUGUGGUGUAUCUCGAACAAUUUUUUGCACAGGAGCGGAAUCAGGACAAACCUUCCGUUCAAAAUCAAAAAUCUAUCGAUGUGAAUAUUCUUCGCUUUCAUUCGAUGAAGAGCGAUUUCUCAUGUUUCCAUAAUUUUUUCAUUGACGUUUUUCGUGACAAACCUCCCACGAAAUUUCGCCAAUAAGUACGUUUUUUUCCCAUUGAUCUAAUUUUUGAACUGAUU